GACGAACGCUGGCGGCGUGCUUAACACAUGCAAGUCGAGCGGUAAGGCCCUUUCGGGGGUACACGAGCGGCGAACGGGUGAGUAACACGUGGGUGACCUGCCCUUAGCUCUGGGAUAAGCCUGGGAAACUGGGUCUAAUACCGGAUAUGACCUCAUGACUCAUGUUGUGGGGUGGAAAGCCUUGUGCGGCUAGGGAUGGGCCCGCGGCCUAUCAGCUUGUUGGUGGGGUAAUUGCCACCAAGGCGACGACGGGUAGCCGGCCUGAGAGGGCGACCGGCCACACUGGGACUGAGACACGGCCCAGACUCCUACGGGAGGCAGCAGUGGGGAAUCUUGCGCAAUGGGCGAAAGCCUGACGCAGCGACGCCGCGUGAGGGAUGACGGCCUC
rnacentral:rRNA from 1 species